rnacentral:rRNA from 1 species
GGUCCUAGACUUGUUGCUAUUUUUAAUUAAAAUUACACAUGUAAGUAUCCGCACACCAGUGAAACAGCCCAAAAUAGUAUAAACGGAGCAGGUAUCAGGCACGAACAUCAGCCCAAAACACUUUGCCACGCCACACCCACAAGGGAACUCAGCAGUGAUAAACAUUAAGCAAUAAACGACCCUACUCAACCCAAAGCUUGACUUAGUUACAAUUAUUAUAAGGGUCGGCAAAUCUCGUGCCAGCCGCCGCGGUUAUACGAGAGACCCAAAUAAGCAACCAAACGGCGUAAAUUGUGGCUAGAAUCACUUAAACCAAACCGUAAGACAAUAAACCACCACCCAUUAGUAAAAUAUGGGGUAAAAGAAACACCCUUACCUCCGGUCAUUUGAACCCACGAAAACUAAGAAACAAACUAGGAUUAGAUACCCUACUAUGCUUAGUUAUUAAUAAGACGCACUUGUCCGCCAGAGAAUUACAAGCGAAAAGCUUAAAACUCAAAAGACUUGGCGGUGUCCCACACUCAACUUAGAGGAGCCUGUCCUAUAAUCGAUAACCCACGAUAAACCCAACCACCUUUUGCCACCACAGCCUAUAUACCGCCGUCACCAAUCUACCUCUACAAGAGAAAAACAGUAGGUAAAACAGUAUGUCACUAAAACGUCAGGUCAAGGUGUAGCUUAUAAAGUGGAAGAGAUGGGCUACAUUCUUUAAUACAUAAAGCAUACAAAAAGAAGCAUGAAAUAGGCCUCCCAAAGGAGGAUUUAACAGUAAAACUAGCAAGAAAACUAAUUUUAAACCCGCCCUGGGACGCGCACACACCGCCCGUCACCCUCCU